GCACCUGUGGCGGAAUUGGUAGACGCACCAGACUUAGGAUCUGGCGCCUUGUGCGUGGGGGUUCAAGUCCCUUCAGGUGCA
rnacentral:tRNA from 1 species